GAUGAACGCUGGCGGCGUGCCUAAUACAUGCAAGUCGAGCGAACGGACGAGAAGCUUGCUUCUCUGAUGUUAGCGGCGGACGGGUGAGUAACACGUGGAUAACCUACCUAUAAGACUGGGAUAACUUCGGGAAACCGGAGCUAAUACCGGAUAAUAUUUUGAACCGCAUGGUUCAAAAGUGAAAGACGGUCUUGCUGUCACUUAUAGAUGGAUCCGCGCUGCAUUAGCUAGUUGGUAAGGUAACGGCUUACCAAGGCAACGAUGCAUAGCCGACCUGAGAGGGUGAUCGGCCACACUGGAACUGAGACACGGUCCAGACUCCUACGGGAGGCAGCAGUAGGGAAUCUUCCGCAAUGGGCGAAAGCCUGACGGAGCAACGCCGCGUGAGUGAUGAAGGUCUUCGGAUCGUAAAACUCUGUUAUUAGGGAAGAACAUAUGUGUAAGUAACUGUGCACAUCUUGACGGUACCUAAUCAGAAAGCCAAGCUAACUACGUG
rnacentral:rRNA from 1 species